CGCGGGGUGGAGCAGUUGGCAGCUCGUCGGGCUCAUAACCCGAAGGUCGUAGGUUCAAGUCCUAUCCCCGCAACCA
rnacentral:tRNA from 6 species